GCGAGCUGGGCGGCGCGCGGGCGGUGCCGGGACGUCGAGGACGCCCAUGCCGGGUAAGGGGGCGGGGCGAGCGGCGCUGGGAGGUGGAGGACGCUCUGGCGGCUGAGCUUGAUGGGCGUGAGAAUCUCCAGAACAGUGUUGGACAGAAGGGGUGAGGGGGACAUCCUUGCCUUGUUACUGAUCUUGGGAAGAAAGCAUUUAGUCUUUCACCAUUCAAAAUGUAAGUAACGUUAAAGAAGGAUAAUCUGUAGGCCUGAAAAGUAUUGAAUGGAAGAUUGCAUGUGAUGCUAAUGAAUUUGUGCCUUGUUAGAAGAUUUUGUCUGUGGAUAAGGCUGCUCUACCAGAGUUCAUGGAAUCAUUUACAGAAGGAAUCUGAUAGUAGUACAUAGCAUUGAGCUCCUGAAGUUCUUUGGUCUCUACAAAGCAGCACCACCAAUG